UGAUUUGGAAGGUGAAUUGAGCAGGCCU
rnacentral:piRNA from 1 species